rnacentral:rRNA from 1 species
UACAGAGGGUGCAAGCGUUAAUCGGAAUUACUGGGCGUAAAGCGUGCGUAGACGGUUAUGUAAGUCGGGUGUGAAAGCCCCGGGCUCAACCUGGGAAUUGCAUUCGAGACUGCAUAGCUAGGGUGCGGAAGAGGGAAGCGGAAUUUCCGGUGUAGCGGUGAAAUGCGUAGAUAUCGGGAGGAACACCAGUGGCGAAGGCGGCUUCCUGGCCUGUUCUUGACGCUGAGGCGCGAAAGCUAGGGGAGCAAACGGG